AGCGAACGCUGGCGGCAGGCCUAACACAUGCAAGUCGAGCGCCGUAGCAAUACGGAGCGGCAGACGGGAGAGUAACACGUGGGAACGUGCCCUUCAGUUCGGAACAACCCAGGGAAACUUGGGCUAAUACCGGAUACGCCCUUACGGGGAAAGAUUUAUCGCUGAAGGAUCGGCCCGCGUCUGAUUAGCUUGUUGGUGAGGUAACGGCUCACCAAGGCUACGAUCAGUAGCUGGUCUGAGAGGAUGAUCAGCCUCACUGGGACUGAGACACGGCCCAGACUCCUACGGGAGGCAGCAGUGGGGAAUAUUGGACAAUGGGCGCAAGCCUGAUCCAGCCAUGCCGCGUGAGUGAUGAAGGCCUUAGGGUUGUAAAGCUCUUUCGGCGGGGAAGAUAAUGACGGUACCCGCAGAAGAAGCCCCGGCUAACUUCGUGCCAGCCGCCGCCGUAACAC
rnacentral:rRNA from 1 species